rnacentral:Y_RNA from 1 species
GGCUGGUCUGAUGGUAGUGGGUUAAUAGAACUCAUUAACAUUAGUGUCACUAAAGUCGAUAUAUACCCCCCUACACUGCUAAAUUGACUGGAUUAAA